CUCUAGAGGGACUGCCGGUGUUAAACCGGAGGAAGGUGGGGAUGACGUCAAGUCCUCAUGGCCCUUAUGUCCAGGGCUACACACGUGCUACAAUGGACCGUACAAAGGGCUGCUAACCUGCGAAGGCAUGCAAAUCCCAAAAAACGGUCCUCAGUUCGGAUUGGAGUCUGCAACUCGACUCCAUGAAGCUGGAAUCGCUAGUAAUCGCGGAUCAGCAUGCCGCGGUGAAUACGUUCCCGGGCCUUGUACACACCGCCCGUCACACCACGAAAGCUGACUGCACCAGAAGUCGUUGGGCUAACCCUCGGGAGGCAGGCGCCGAAGGUGUGGUUGGUAAUUGGGGUGAAGUCGUAACAAGGUAGCCGUAGGGGAACCUGCGGCUGGAUCACCUCCUUUCUAAGGUGA
rnacentral:rRNA from 1 species